CCUGGCUCAGGAUGAACGCUAGCUACAGGCUUAACACAUGCAAGUCGAGGGGCAGCAUGGUCUUAGCUUGCUAAGGCCGAUGGCGACCGGCGCACGGGUGAGUAACACGUAUCCAACCUGCCGUCUACUCUUGGACAGCCUUCUGAAAGGAAGAUUAAUACAAGAUGGCAUCAUGAGUCCGCAUGUUCACAUGAUUAAAGGUAUUCCGGUAGACAAUGGGGAUGCGUUCCAUUAGAUAGUAGGCGGGGUAACGGCCCACCUAGUCUUCGAUGGAUAGGGGUUCUGAGAGGAAGGUCCCCCACAUUGGAACUGAGACACGGUCCAAACUCCUACGGGAGGCAGCAGUGAGGAAUAUUGGUCAAUGGGCGAGAGCCUGAACCAGCCAAGUAGCGUGAAGGAUGACUGCCCUAUGGGUUGUAAACUUCUUUUAUAAAGGAAUAAAGUCGGGUAUGGAUACCCGUUUGCAUGUACUUUAUGAAUAAGGAUCGGCUAACUCCGUGCCAGCAGCCGCGGUAAUACGGAGGAUCCGAGCGUUAUCCGGAUUUAUUGGGUUUAAAGGGAGCGUAGAUGGAUGUUUAAGUCAGUUGUGAAAGUUUGCGGCUCAACCGUAAAAUUGCAGUUGAUACUGGAUAUCUUGAGUGCAGUUGAGGCAGGCGGAAUUCGUGGUGUAGCGGUGAAAUGCUUAGAUAUCACGAAGAACUCCGAUUGCGAAGGCAGCCUGCUAAGCUGCAACUGACAUUGAGGCUCGAAAGUGUGGGUAUCAAACAGGAUUAGAUACCCUGGUAGUCCACACGGUAAACGAUGAAUACUCGCUGUUUGCGAUAUACUGCAAGCGGCCAAGCGAAAGCGUUAAGUAUUCCACCUGGGGAGUACGCCGGCAACGGUGAAACUCAAAGGAAUUGACGGGGGCCCGCACAAGCGGAGGAACAUGUGGUUUAGUUCGAUGAUACGCGAGGAACCUUACCCGGGCUUAAAUUGCAGAUGAAUUACGGUGAAAGCCGUAAGCCGCAAGGCAUCUGUGAAGGUGCUGCAUGGUUGUCGUCAGCUCGUGCCGUGAGGUGUCGGCUUAAGUGCCAUAACGAGCGCAACCCUUGUUGUCAGUUACUAACAGGUUCCGCUGAGGACUCUGACAAGACUGCCAUCGUAAGAUGUGAGGAAGGUGGGGAUGACGUCAAAUCAGCACGGCCCUUACGUCCGGGGCUACACACGUGUUACAAUGGGGGGUACAGAGGGCCGCUACCACGCGAGUGGAUGCCAAUCCCCAAAACCUCUCUCAGUUCGGACUGGAGUCUGCAACCCGACUCCACGAAGCUGGAUUCGCUAGUAAUCGCGCAUCAGCCACGGCGCGGUGAAUACGUUCCCGGGCCUUGUACACACCGCC
rnacentral:rRNA from 1 species